rnacentral:misc_RNA from 1 species
GCAAACUUGGUCAUUUAGAGGAAGUAAAAGUCGUAACAAGGUUUCCGUAGGUGAGUUACAACCUUCUCGACCCCUUCUUGCGAUGAAUUCUUGCUAACAGUGCUCAAUAGGUGAACCUGCGGAAGGAUCAUUACCGAGUACCGGUGCCCUCUGGGUGCCUACUCCCACCACAUGUGAAUCUUUAAACCGUUGCUUUGGCGGACCGGCUCUGCCCCCCGGCGCUGUCGGGGCGCGUCCGCCAGAGGAUCUUUAAACCCUUUGAAUCCUGAAGUCAGAGUCUUUGAAAAUAAAUCAAAACUUUCAACAACGGAUCUCUUGGUUCUGGCAUCGAUGAAGAACGCAGC